CCCUUAUGUGUGACUAGCUAACUGAAUCAUUUGUGUGUCACAAGUGAUAACGUAAAGGAAAAUAAUGAUAUUACUUUACUAUUAGUGUCGUCCAAAACUGGUGCCAGAAGACUCGGUAAGGCCAGAGACGCAAACGUUAAUCCUCUUUAUCAGGCGUAAAGGGUUUGUAGGCUGCUUUUAAAGUUUUCAGACUUAGAAUAGUUGUUUUAAAGCAAUUCUCAUUUAUAUUUUUAUAAUUGAGAAUCUUUAAAAUAUAGGUUUGGAGAUGAAUCAAAGCUAGAAUCAAAUAGAGGUUGUAAAUAGAAUACCUAGAGUAGGGCUGAUAUCCGUAAAUCCUAGGUAGAAUACUCAAAGCGAAGGCUUUCUUCCACUAAUGAUUGACGCUGAGAAACGAAGGUUAGGAUAGGAAAUAGGAUUAGAUACCCUAGUACCCCUCUCUGUCAACGAUGAAUGGUAGUUAUUAUUAUAGGUAAAUAGUAGUAGCGAUGUUAACGCGAUAACCAUUCCGCCUUGUGAGUACAAUUGCAAAAUUGAAAACAAAAAAAUUAGUCGGUCUUGAAGCAAACGGAGUGAAGCAUGUUAUUUAAUUCGUUUAUCCCGCAA
rnacentral:rRNA from 1 species